CCGCUUUUCCUUCCUCUUCCUCCCCCCCCAUUUCCUUCCUCUUCCUCACACCUUCCUCUUCCUCACGUCCCCUACUUUUCCUCUUCCUCACACCUUCCUCUUCCUCGUGCCCCCUUCAUCCUCCUGGUCCCUUCCUCUUCCUCACACCUUCUUCUUCCUCGUGCUUUUUUCAUUUUCACACCUUUUUCUUCCUCGUGCUCCCUCCUCUUCCUCACACCUUCUUCCUCCUGAUCAUGCUCCUCCUGCUCCUGGUGCCUUCCUCUUUCCCCUGGUGCCUUCUUCCUCCUCGCAUCUUCCUCAUCCUCCUCGCAUCCCCUCCUCCCCCUGGUGCCUUCCUCUUCCUCACACCUUCCUCAUCCUCCUUGUACUCCCUCCUCCCCCUGGCACCUUUCUCAUCCUUCUCGUAACUUUUCUUUUUCCUGGUGCCUUCAUCAUUCUCCUUGUACCCUCUUGUCCUGGUGCCUUCCUCUUCCUCGUACUCCCUCCUCCCCCUGGUGCCUUCCUCUUCCUCACACCUCUCCCCUGGUGCCUUCCUCCUCCCCCUGGUGCCUUCCUCCUCCCCCUGGUGCCUUCCUCCUCCUCGUAUCCCCUUCUCCUCCUGGUGCCUUCCUCCUCCUUGCACCUUCCUCCUUGUACCCCCUCCUCCCCCUGGCACCUCCCUCCUCCUCACACCUUCCUCAUCCUCCUCAUGCUCUCUCUUCCUGGUGCCUUCCUCCUCCUCCUGGUGCCCUUUCCUCUUCCUCAUCCUCCUCCUUGCACCUUCCUCAUCCUCCUCAUGCUUCCUCUUCCUGGCGCCUUCCCCCUCCCCCUGGUGCGUUCCUCUUCCUCGCACCUUCCUCAUCCUCCUUGUACCCUCUCCCCCUGGUGCCUUCCUCUUCCUCACACCUCUCCCCUGGUGCCUUUCUCCUCCCCCUGGUGCCUUUGUCCUCCUCGUACCCCAUCGUUCUCCUGGUGCCUUCCUCUUCCUCGCACCUUUCUUAUCCUCUUCCUGGUGCCUUCCUCCUGCUCCUGGUGCCUUCCUCACCCUCAUACCUUCCUCCUCCUCCCAUCCUGCAGGCCCAGGAGCUGAAGGAGCGGGGGAACCGUGCGCUGGCGGCGGGGGAGGUGGGGGCUGCGGUGGGGCACUGCACCUUCCUCCUCCUCAUCCUGGCACCUUCCUCCUCCUCAUACCCUCCUCCUCCUCUUCCUCCCCUGUCCCCCCCCAGGCCCAGGAGCUGAAGGAGCGGGG
rnacentral:lncRNA from 1 species